CAAAAGAAGAGUUUGACCAUGGCUCAAAACGAACGCUAACUAUAUGCUUAACCGAUGCAAGUCGAACAUUGUUUUCAGGGAGCUGGGCAGAAGGAAAAGACGCUCCUAGCUAACUAAAGGUAGCUUGUCUCGCCCUAGCAAUGGUUGCCAGUGUAGGCAACGAGCUUUGCCAGUGGUAGCAACAAGCAAAGAAAGCCCUCGCCAACUAUUGGAAGCCUCUACUACGCAAGCUAGUGGUAGCAACUGUAAAUUGUUUAGGACGCUUUUUUUGCAGCGCGAGCAAAGCGGUUGUUGAAGAGUGGUUUGACGUUGCAAAGCCCUCUUUAACACUUAGACAUUGCUCUUACACUGCCUUCACGGAGGUGGGAACAGUUGAGAACCAAGUGGCGAACGGGUGCGUAACGAGUGGGAAUCUGCCGAACAGUUCGGGCCAAAUCUUGAAGAAAGCUAAAAAGCCUUGUUUGAUGAGCCUGCGUAGUAUUAGGUAGUUGGUUAGGUAAAGCCUGACUAAGUCAAUGAUGCUUAGCGGGUCUUUUCGGAUGAUUAGUCACACUGGGACUGAGACACGGCCUGGACUCCCACGGGGGGCAGCAGUGGGGAAUCUUCGACAAUGAGCGAAACCUCAAUCUAUCAAUAUCGUGUCGAGGGUCUACCCAUACGUAGAUUAGGGGCCCAACUAACGCGUGAAACACUCCGCCUGGGGAGUACGGUCGUAAGACCGAAACUCAAAGGAAUUGACGGGGGCUUGCACAAGCGGUGGAGCACGUGGUUUAAUUCAAUACAACGAGCCUAAGGAGAAAGUCGAGACAACCGAAGUUCACCAAGGAGCCAAGUGACAUGCCAGCGCUGCUAAUUGAGUGCCAGUAUGUAGCUGUGCUGUCAGUUAGAAGGGAACCGGUGCCUUUCGAUUCCUAGUGUGAACCCGUCUAGUCAAAGAGGAGGGAGUGCUUUGAUGCGGAACAUCAAAGCCUAGCCAUAAUAGCGAGUGCUUUGAUGUUCCGCCUAUGCCGAACAUCUUCUCACUUGGAGCUUCGCAAGAGUAAAAAGCCCUGCCAAUAGUUUGACUGUGCUAGAGUGCUUUCAAGGUUACGACGAGAGUUGGCGACGGAGGAAGACUCGGCAUGUAGGAGAGCCACCCGGUGGUGUGGUAUGUAGUGGUAAUAGUACGCCGCCCUACCAAAACGACUCCGAAACAAAGAAAAAAAAAGGUGCGUGCCGCACUCACGAGGAACUGCCAGUGAUAUACUAGAGGAAGGUGGGGAUGACGUCAAGUUUGCAUGGCCCUUAUGGGUUGGACCACACACGUGCUACAAUGGCAAUUACAAUGGGAAGGAAGGCUGUAAGGCAGAGCGAAUUCUGAAAGAUUGCCUAAGUUCGGAUUGUUCUCUGCAACUCAAGAACAUGAAGUUGGAAUCACUAGUAAUCGCGGAUCAGCAUGCCGCAGUGAAUAUGUACUCGGGCCCUAUACACACUGCCCGUCACACCCUGGGAAUUGGUUUCGCCCUUAGCAUCAGACCAAUGAUCACCCAUUCCUUGUGUGUCCCACUAGCGCCACAAAGGUUUUGGUGGUCUUAUUGGCGCAUACCACGAUGGGGUCUUCGAUUGGGAUGAAGUCGUAACAAGGUAGCCAUUGGGGUACCUGUAGCUAGCUGGAUUGAAUC
rfam:Amborella trichopoda AMTR_V1.0_contig_11337, whole genome shotgun sequence.